UUGCAUGCAUGCUUAACCCUAACCGAAUCCUCAGACCUGAAGGGCAGUGUGACAGAGACAGUGAUGCUUACCACUUGCUCCCCGAAAUUUCCCAGCCACCCUGUAUCAGCUGAAGCCAGGUCACCAGCUCUGGCAAAGGGGCUGAGGUGGGAGUGAUGUGGGUGACUUCCUGGCUGGAGCACAGAAGAGCCUAUGUGUGACAUUCAGCUGCCCUUUCACCUGCCAUGGCAACCGCCCAAGCCUGGUGUUGAGACAGUGGAGCCAUGAGAUCAAAACAGCCUGGACUGCUGGGUCAAGCAGAGGACGAACUCCCUGAAGGGUCCCCUGGACUCCGGUGAGCAAGAGCACACGGAAUUGUCUGCAUGGAUGGUCAGUCAUCUUUUUCCAGUGUGGAGACUGCUCAGUGUUCACCAAACCCAUUUCCUUCUCUUGUGUGGCAUGUGGCACCCUGUGGUUGGGUGUGGCUGUGCUGCUGAGCCCCACCCAUGCAGCGUGAUCUUCCUCACUCUCUCUCUUCCUCCUCUACCCACCACACACUGAGGAACCAGAAGAGGACUCCACUGGGGGUGCCCAAGCCUCAAGAUGGCAGAAGCCAGGCGCCUGAACUGGGCCUUAAGUGCAGUGACUCCAGCGCCUGGCUUCUCCCAUGUGGGCAGGGCCCCCACGCUAGACCCUACACAAGUGAGAUAAACGGUGCUGGGCCACUCAGCUGCUGAAGCCAUUUCCCAGAGCAGCCAUCUACUCACCCCAGCAUACUAAACAAAUGCCCAGGUGGCCCACACAACACUUACCAGGGUAAGGACAACAUAGAAUUCUGGAGGAUUUUAUAUCCCUCAAGAGACUAACACGUUCACACUCUUUGACCCUGUAAUUCCAUUUCUGAGAAUAUACCCUAAAAAAUAGUUUGAUUCGUGAAGGUCUAUGUGUACAAGGAUGUCUAGUAUUAUUUAAAAUAGUGGAAAAUAGGAUUCUAGGAAAAAGGUAAUAAAAUUUUAAAAAUAAAAAAAAACUUCAGGAAAGGAUUCUAGGAAAAAAAUAAAAUUUAAAAAAUAAUAAGUAAUAAUAAAAUAGUGGAAAACACUAAAACAAUCUAAACAUCUAAAAAAUAAUUACAGUAAACCUAUAGGAUUAAAUAUCUUAGCCAGGUGCAGUGGCCCAUGCCUGUAAUCCCAGCACUCUGGGAGGCUGAGGUGGAUGGAUCCCCUGAGGUCAAGAGUUCAAGACCAGCCUGGCCAAGAUGGCAAAACCCUGUCUCUACUAAAAAUACAAAAAUUAGCCAGGCGUGGUGGUGCAUGUCUGUAAUCCCAGUACUCAGGACGCUGAGGAAGGAGAAUCACUUGAACCCAGGAGGUGGAGACUGCAGUGAGCUGGGAUCGCACCACUGCACUCCAGCCUGGGUGACAAAACGAGAUUCUGCCUCAAAAAUAAGUAAGGGUUGGGCGCGGUGACUCAUGCCUGUAAUCCCAGCACUUUGGGAGGCCGAGGCGGGUGGGCCACCUGAGGUCAGGUGUUCGAGACCAGCCUGGCCAACAUGGUGAAAACCCGUCUCUACUAAAAAUACAAAAAGAUUAGAAGGGUGUGGUAGCAUGCAUCUGUAGUCCCAGCUACGUGGGAUGCUGAGGCACGAGAAUCGCUUGAAUCCGGGAGGCAGAGGUUGCAGUGAGCCAAGAUCACGUGACAACACUCCAGCCUGGGUGACAGUGAGAUUCCGUCUCAAAAAUAAAUAAUAAAUAAAACAAAUAAAUAUCUUACAGCCAUUGGGAAGUUGUGGCUUUGAAAUCUAAAAUAACAAAAACCACAACAUAAUAAAUAAAAACCGCAACAGCUCACCUGUGUGUAAGUAUGGCA